GUAAGGAAUAUUGGACAAUGGGGGCAACCCUGAUCCAGCCAUGCCGCGUGAGUGAUGAAGGCCUUCGGGUUGUAAAGCUCUUUUAGAUGUGACGAUGAUGACGGUAGCAUCAGAAAAAGCUCCGGCUAACUUCGUGCCAGCAGCCGCGGUAAUACGAAGGGAGCGAGCGUUGUUCGGAAUCACUGGGCUUAAAGCGUACGUAGGCGGACUUACAAGUCAGGAGUGAAAUCCCGGGGCUUAACCCCGGAAUUGCUUUUGAAACUGUGAGUCUGGAAUCCGGUAGAGGUUGGCGGAACUCCGAGUGUAGAGGUGAAAUUCGCAGAUAUUCGGAAGAACACCAGUGGCGAAGGCGGCCAACUGGACCGGUAUUGACGCUGAGGUACGAAAGCGUGGGUAGCAAACAGGAUUAGAAACCCUGGUAGUCC
rnacentral:rRNA from 1 species